rnacentral:lncRNA from 1 species
AUGGAUCUGUAUAAAGAGCUCUUUGGGAGCCUUUUGCCCUCCCCUCGAUCUUCAGCAGAACCCAAAGCUUUAAGAAUUGUGCAUCUCUCUCUUUCAGGAGUAAAAGGGAAGAAGGGUAGGGUGGAAAUUGAUUUCUUGCAGAGACUGAGGCACUGGAUGAUCGAGGGAAUAAACAUUUGCCCUGGUUCAAAAUGUUCUUGGCUUCAUUCCAAUCCUAAUGAUAUCUUUGGCCAGAUUUGUUUCUGCAGUCAACUCAUUUUUAUCAAGAGGGCUUUGGAUGUUGUUUGGUUGGAAGAAGUGAGGAAGUAGGAGGACUUGGGAUGGGAGAAGUAGAGAUUAGAAGACUACAGAAUGAAAAAGAAACAAUCAAUUGCCAUCACUUUAAGUUUUUAAGUGAAGAAUUAUAGAGCAUUUUUAAUGAGUGAAACAUUUUACGAUGCUCUCUAAAACAACUGGAUGCCAGCUGUUCUGAUUAACAUUUUGUUCUCCUUUAAUAUUCAUAGCAGUCCAAAUGUUUAUGGAGCUCAUAACACCUCACCUCACCUUCCUUAAAUUAGAACAUUAUAAUAUUCAUUUUUGGUAAAGUAUAUGUGAGCCAGUUGCUCAAAUAUUUAAACAUAAUUUUAAAAGUCACAGAAUAAGAAUAUUAGUGUUCACUGUAUGGUACAUGAUUACUGAACUUUAAAAUGUGAGUUAUUUCAUUUUACUAAAGGAUUUUAUAUAUUUAGCACUAGAGUCUAAUCCAUUUAAAUGUAACCAUCAUCCAUAUAGAACCAAAAAACCAAUAUGAACAGGCUUUCCUGAUCAACCUACUCACCCAUUUUCCCACCUUGCUCCAAGGUAGUUAAUGCCCUUUAGAAUUUAGAAGUCUUUUAAAAUUUAUACAUCUUAUUAGCAUAUGAUUUAUCUGGUAAGUACAAUACACUUCAUUUGCAGGUGGUUCCUAGUAAAAUUUUGUGGAUUGGCAAUAUUUUAUGUGAGAUGUACUGCCACCUUAAGUCCGGGGAUCUCACUUAACACAUUCUUAUCUAUCAUCUAAUUGUCUGCCAUAACUUUUGAUGUAAAAAUUACAUUCUGGAUAUACUCCAUUAGAGAAAUUAUACUUAAGUAUUUGAUAUGUUUAGAAGGCUCAAUGCUUCCAAAGUAUACCUAACCAUUAAACAAUAAAUUGUCAUAGAAAUUAUAGUUAAAUCA